GGCGCUGCCAGCAGGGGCCGCGCGCGGGAGAGGCGCAGCGGCCGCGGGGCUCCGCGCUGCCUGAGGCGGCUGAGGAGCGGCUGAGGAGCGGAUGGGGGGCGGUUGAGGAGCCGCUGAGGGACGGCUGAGAACCCGCCGAGGAGCGGCUGCUGGGGCGCCGUGCGGGGGGCGGUCUCCCCUCAGGUGCCGCGGCGGCGCCGGGAGCCCCGGCGCCCGGCCGGUACGCGCCUCACGCAGCGCGGCCCGGGCGGCAGCGGCUGCCGAGCCUGAGCCAGGCGUCUUUGGGCACUGGGGCCUCCGCCGCAGCCCGUGCCGACGGGAAGCGCCGCGACUGAGCAUUGCAAGAGCUCGGACAAAGGGAGAGGCCUGUCCUGACCUUGGUGUCGGAUGGUCGGGGCAGAGAUUUAAGGUACACGGUCCAUCAUUUCAAAAUGGCAAUGUGCAUUUGUGAGCCUAAACUGUUCCCUGGUCAGGAACUGCUCUUCAGUCUUGAGAUUGAAAUCAGCAUGGUUUUAGGCUGUGAGAAGCUAUCUGCAAAGGAUGGAAUGCAUCAGCUGACAAGAAUCCCCACUUCAGUUUCACAGAGAAGGGAAGUGAGAGACUCCAGAUGAAACAUGUGAUUAAGAAAUGAUGGUAGAAAAUAAUUCAAAAUCCAACCAAUGAUGAAUUCUGUUUAAUACUAGAAAAGCCAGAAAGACACUCUCCAGACCAAAAAGUAUUAAUUAAAGAAAAAAAAAAAAAGAAAAAAA